rnacentral:rRNA from 1 species
GACGAACGCUGGCGGCGUGCUUAACACAUGCAAGUCGAGCGGUAAGGCCCUUUCGGGGUACACGAGCGGCGAACGGGUGAGUAACACGUGGGUGACCUGCCCUCAGCUCUGGGAUAAGCCUGGGAAACCGGGUCUAAUACCGGAUAUGACUCCAUGACGCAUGUUGUGGGGUGGAAAGCCUUGUGCGGCUGAGGAUGGGCCCGCGGCCUAUCAGCUUGUUGGUGGGGUGAGGCCUACCAAGGCGACGACGGGUAGCCGGCCUGAGAGGGCGACCGGCCACACUGGGACUGAGAUACGGCCCAGACUCCUACGGGAGGCAGCAGUGGGGAAUCUUGCGCAAUGGGCGAAAGCCUGACGCAGCGACGCCGCGUGAGGGAUGACGGCCU